UACGUAGGGGGCUAGUGUUGUCCGGAUUUAUUGGGCGUAAAGAGCGUGUAGGCGGCCUGGUAGGUCUGCUGUGAAAACUCGAGGCUCAACCUCGAGAUGUCGGCGGAAACCAUCUGGCUAGAGUCCGGAAGAGGAGAGUGGAAUUCCUGGUGUAGCGGUGAAAUGCGCAGAUAUCAGGAAGAACACCUAUGGCGAAGGCAGCUCUCUGGGACGGUACUGACGCUGAGACGCGAAAGCGUGGGGAGCGAACAGG
rnacentral:rRNA from 1 species